ACAACAAGCAGACAACAUAUAGUUGUCCCAAAAGCACCGGUUCAGUAUGACACUUUAGUCGCUUUCGGCUAUGAGGCAACCAUGUGAACAAAUUCCCAUUAGUUUCAAUGAGAAAUUGUUCCCUUUACCCCAUUACAUCCAGAAGCAACAGAAAACAUCACCAUUCCCAGCACUGUUUGAAAUUUGCUAGCAUAGAGCAAGGUUAACAAUAUAACAUGAUAUAAGACUUUCCAUGUACAUCAGAAGCUUAUUGUGCAUAUUUAAGCAAGGUUGGCAGCAACCUUUGGUUGAAUUUCUCUUUCCGGUGCC
rnacentral:misc_RNA from 1 species